rnacentral:lncRNA from 1 species
AGUUGUGACCCACUGUCACUGACACCAACACUACUGCUGAAACACACCACCCACCACCUCACUGUGAUCAUAUCCACUCUGGUUUCUAUGAACAUUCAGCAAGUAUAGAUGAACGUCAAUGGGUGCAAUGUUUUCUCCAUGGAGAAAUUCAAUGACACACCUUCAUUUCAUUCGCAUUUCCAUGUCAGACACUAUUUUGCCAAACUACCCCUCUGCUGCCAUCUGUCACAUGGCAACAACAUGUAAUGGAAUAUCUGUGAGAAGGUUUAGCCACUACAGCCAUUCCACCAACAUCCACCUCUGAUGUUGUGGGCCAACAUAAUGAAGUUGAUAGAAGGGCACCACCCGUCUCAACUUAACUUUGUCUCCUCUGGAUAAUCCAAACACCCAGAAUGCGACUGACAGUUUUCUCUUUCCUUAAAAUGUGAACUUGAUGGGAGAGAUUUGCCUGAAAACUGCAGAAAUUGUUCUCCUCCUAUUCAGAUUCCACUUCUCAAAAGCUGAUGACGUUGAGAUUCAGGAGUCUUGCUGGAUUCUGCAGCGAAGUGUUCCGGGAGAUUGAUGCUGCACUGAGGAGCCUGAGGGAUGGAGACUACAACCGAGCUUCCUAAGUUGAGAAAAGCAACAAAACAGGUUAGUAGAAGGAAAAAAAAGAGAAGAGAAGAGAAG